CAACGACACCGACUUGUUUGAGGUGCCCUUCAUGCCCGUCGCCGCCCGUGGUGGUUGAGACCAGUCCGUGGAACGGUGUGAUGCACUUGGCCCUAACUUCCCUCCGACGCCCUCAUUUGCCUACCGUAAAGUGGGGCUAUGUAACCACGAUGAUAACACUCUUGAUCCAUAAGGAAAAUGGGACUCAAAGAAAAAGGAAAGGGAGGUUGGCCUUGUCCCCAGAAUUAGAACCCUCAGCCACUGGCCUGUCCAUAGGAGAGACCAUGUGCACAGGCCUGUGCUCAGCCAGAAGUUGGGAUUCUGGAGAAGACCAUGUCUCAUUGAGCUCACCAUCUCCUGAGGAAAUAACCAACAAUGUUAAGGACAAGUGUAACAUGCCAUUCAAACAGCACGGACGCAUGAAAGUCUGGUUGAGUUGAUGUUUGGGUGAAAGGAUGGAUAAAUGUUAAAUCAGUGUUUUUCAUCUCAUGGCACCCCCUAAAUUUCUGUGGCACACUUAAAUUAUGUUCAUUAAAAAAAAGA